rnacentral:rRNA from 1 species
UUCUGCCACCGAAUACAUUAGCAUGGGAUAAUGGAAUAGGACCCUGUCCUCCUAUUUUCAGUUGGUUUUGGCAGCGCGAGGACUAGGGUAAUGAUUAAUAGGGAUAGUUGGGGGCAUUAAUAUUUAAUUGUCAGAGGUGAAAUUCUUGGAUUUAUGAAAGAUUAACUUCUGCGAAAGCAUCUGCCAAGGAUGUUUUCAUUAAUCAAGAACGAAAGUUAGGGGAUCGAAGACGAUCAGAUACCGUCGUAGUCUUAACCAUAAACGAUGCCGACCAGCGAUUAGGAGACGUUGAAUACAAAACACCACCAUCGGUUGCGGUCGUCCUUGGCGUCUCGGUUUCGGCCGGGGCGCGGGGAUGGCUUAGCCCGGUGGCACCGGUGAAUGACUCCCCUAGCAGCUUGUGAGA